UCCAUUUGCUCAGGGCCUUAGAGGUCCGAGUAUCAUGGAGAUAUUGCUUCACUUCUCCUUAGGGUGUCCACAUCAAGACCCUGGAGCCAUCUUACCAACCUUCCGGAUCAGAGGGAGUGCUUCUGGGUAAGGGUUUUUCCAGACUGACUCCUGCUUGGUGUUGCGGGACAGCCUGGAAGCCGACUCCUGGUCCCAUUCAUUGCUCUCGGUCCUCUAAGGUCAGUCACUUGAGGGGGUGUCCCUCCUCCCUGCUCCCGGCCCCACUUCUCGCUUCCAGAAGGAGCAGGCAAUCAACACUUCUGAAGUCUGACUCGAAACCCAGACCCUCGGCCACCCCUCUGGGCUGCAUUUUGCAACUCAGACCCAGGCGCGAGGGGAUUCCAUCUGGAGGAGCCCGCUCAGACAGACCCCCAGACACACUCACUUGCACCCCGAUCCGCCUGCAACCCAUCCACUUGCCCGCCCCAGGGCCCUCCAGGCGGGGACCAGAGCUGGUGGCGGCUGCAUCUCCCGCCCCCGUCGCCUUCGGCCUCGGGGUCCAACCCCUUGCACUUUACCUGGACCAGAUGGCCCAAGUCCCAGCGUUCGGCCAGAGCCGCCUAUGCAAUGCUACUCCAAGCCCCAAGAAACCUACGCUACCGCGGGACGUUCCCUCCACACUGGUCAACAGGUCUGCAGAGCGCAGCACUCAAGAUCGCGGCACCGUCAUCCCCACCCAGCCGUGAGGCCAGCCGACUUUUGGCCCGCCUUGUCGGCCCCCGCCACCCGGAGACCUCCCCCCGUCUUUCUGCAGUGCCGCCGAACCCUCCAGUUGGGGCAGCCUCAGGAGUCCGGCGCGCAGCGAGGAGACAUCCCCCCACCCCACUCCUCCCCCAGGCGCUCUCGGCCUGACUCCCUUCUCCCCAACCUCCCAAACAGGUUACCUUGUCCACGCUCUCCAGACCACGCUUUGGACUUUUUCACUUUUAUUUAAGAGUCCACCCGGGGAAGGAGGAAAAAAAAAUCCAGAGGAGAUCCGAGUCAAUUGAAAAGAAAAAAAAAAAAUUCAAAAGGGUGUCCACAGCGGCGAAAAAGGGUUGCAUGAAAUCAGUGCUCGUGUGUUGGCUUCCUUUUUACAUACAUGGUUUAACCAGGAAUCCUGAGAUCAUCCCUCUGCCCAAGUACCAUGGGUAUGGUCAGCUGAUGGGGGUGUCCUCCCCUAGUUUGGUACCCAACUCUUCAGGUUGUGUGUGUGGACACACACACUCAGGGGAAGGGUCAUGAGAAGGACCUGAGUGAUAUCACUGAGAAGGCAAAGGUUUGCAAGGACUGUAUUAUCUUUGCUCUGUCGACUUGGACUUAACCCUAAAAAAAGAGGAAAGAGAACAGAAUUAAUGAAAGCUUCAAGUUCGGGGUCAUGUGUAGAAGGAGUCACUACCACAGUUUAAGGAGAAUGAAUCAGUGACUUUAAAGGCUUCCAGGCAUAAUUGGAUGGAGUGGGACAGUCAGUGUGUCCUCUGCAACUCUGAAGUGGACGAUGAUUGUCUUAGCUGAAAACGAAACAAACCCUUUGGGACGCUGUUGAGAAAAAUGCCAAAGAAGAAAAAGUGUGCCCACUCUGGCCACCGAAGACACUAGAGCAAUGCCGUCUGAAAUACAGAUGCCAUUUUCAUUCUUCUCUUCUUGCCUUCAGAACCCCAAUUUACAGAAGAAAAAAGAAAAAAAAAACCUUAGACAAAAGUCGAGAAGGGCCAAUACUAGUUACUUUUGGCACAAAGGUCUUGUGGACUGCUGGGGUUGUGUUUGGGAUUGUGAUGAACCUAUAGUAAAACCAAGGGAACUGACAUUUAACAAUAUGAAGAAACAUAAAAUGAGAACUCCUGAAAAAAUAUGUAGAAAUUUGAGUAUAUAUUAAGGGCUCGGAAAAUUGAUUGACUAACAGAGCUAUCAAGACUAAAUUCACAACUACGUGUUCUAUUAAAUGUCCACCACGAGCAGUACUAUGAAGGAAUGUAGUAUGGUGGGUAAGAUCCAGCUUUGGGUCAAAUAGACCUAUGUUUGUGUAAUGGCCCCUCAUUAACAAAGGGUUCUAACAGGUCAAAAAAUUUCAAAUAAAGAAUAAACUAUUUCAUGUAUUAAAGUACUUAGCCCAAUGUCUGGAACUUGAUGCUCGAUAAGUAUUAGCUAUAUGAAUAAACAGCUUUUUAUCCUA